rnacentral:rRNA from 1 species
AGAGCGAACGCUGGCGGCAGGCCUAACACAUGCAAGUCGAGCGGCCGUAGCAAUACGGCAGCGGCAGACGGGAGAGUAACACGUGGGAACGCGCCCUUCGGUUCGGAAUAACUCAGGGAAACUUGGGCUAAUACCGGAUACGCCCUUACGGGGAAAGAUUUAUUGCCGAAGGAACGGCCCGCGUCCGAUUAGCUAGUUGGUGAGGUAACGGCUCACCAAGGCGACGACGCGUAGCCGGACUGAGAGGUUGGCCGGCCACAUUGGGACUGAGACACUGCCCAGACUCCUACGGGGGGCUGCAGUAACGAAUCUUCCGCAAUGCCCGAAAGGGUGACGGAGCGACGCCGCGUGUGGGACGAAGUCCUUCGGGAUGUAAACCACUGUCAGGGGCUACCAAGUUCUGAGGAGCCCCAGAGGAAGGCACGGCUAACUCUGUGCCAGCAGCCGC